GACGUAGGGCGCGAGCGUUGUCCGGAUUUAUUGGGCGUAAAGAGCUCGUAGGCGGCUUGUCGCGUCGACUGUGAAAUCCCGCGGCUCAACUGCGGGUCUGCAGCCGAUACGGGCAGGCUAGAGUUCGGUAGGGGAGACUGGAAUUCCUGGUGUAGCGGUGAAAUGCGCAGAUAUCAGGAGGAACACCGGUGGCGAAGGCGGGUCUCUGGGCCGAUACUGACGCUGAGGAGCGAAGCGUGGGGAGCGAACAGG
rnacentral:rRNA from 1 species